UACAGAGGGUGCAAGCGUUAAUCGGAAUUACUGGGCGUAAAGCGUGCGUAGGUGGUUUGUUAAGUCAGGUGUGAAAUCCUCGGGCUCAACCCGGGAACUGCGCUUGAUACUGAUAGACUCGAGUGUGGUAGAGGAUAGUGGAAUUCCCGGUGUAGCGGUGAAAUGCGUAGAUAUCGGGAGGAACAUCAGUGGCGAAGGCGGCUCUCUGGACCAUCACUGACGCUGAGGUGCGAAAGCGUGGGUAGCAAACAGG
rnacentral:rRNA from 1 species